AUACGGAGGAUCCUAGUGUUAUCCGGAUUUAUUGGGUUUAAAGGGAGCGUAGGCGGGAGGUCAAGUCAGCUGUGAAAUGUAUCUGCUUAACGGGUACACUGCAGUUGAAACUGGUUUUCUUGAGUGCGUAAGAGGCAGGCGGAAUUCGUUGUGUAGCGGUGAAAUGCUUAGAUAUGACGAGGAACUCCUAUUGCGAAGGCAGCUUGCUGGGUCGUUACUGACGCUGAUGCUCGAAGGUGCGGGGAUCAAACAGGAUUAGAUACCCUGGUAGUCCGCACGGUAAACGAUGAUUACCCGCUGUCGGCGGUAGACAGUCGGCGGCCAAGCGAAAGCGAUAAGUAAUCCACCUGGGGAGUACGCCGGCAACGGUGAAACUCAAAUGAAUUGGCGGGG
rnacentral:rRNA from 1 species